ensembl:piRNA 21ur-3886 ncRNA
UGAAGAUGGCAAAAACUUUCA